CUCCUAUCCCCUGGUGUGCCUUGCCUCCACGACUCGGCCGCGUCGACGAAGAAGGCUCUUGGGUUGUAAACCCCUUUUCUCUGGGAAGAAAGUUGUGAAAGCAACCUGACGGUACCUGAAGAAUAAGGAUCGGCUAACUCCGUGCCAGCAGCCGCGGUAAUACGGAGGAUCCAAGCGUUAUCCGGAUUUAUUGGGUUUAAAGGGUGCGUAGGCGGCCUAUUAAGUCAGGAGUGAAAUACGGCAGCUUAACUGUCGCAGUGCUCUUGAUACUGAUAGGCUUGAAUGUCGCUUAAGAUGGCGGAAUGAGACAAGGUAGCGGUGAAAUGCAUAGAUAUGUCUCAGAACACCGAUUGCGAAGGCAGCUGUCUAAACGAUUAUUGACGCUGAUGCACGAAAGCGUGGGGAUCAAACAGGAUUAGAUACCCUGGUAGUACCACGCCCUAAACGAUGAUAACUCGAUGUUAGCGAUAU
rnacentral:rRNA from 1 species